AUGAAGAAUGGUGACAUAAUUAUUUUGUCUAGCAUAAAACCUGAAUCUGCAGAGGACUUAAGCCACCAUGGUGUGACAUACUGCUUGGCAAUGGUUACUGAGGUUUCUAUGGAUGAUGAAUACCAGAAGAGCUUCAGAGUCAAAGUUGCAAAUAAUAUUGGUUUGGAAGAAGACCUAAACAAACUCAAGCAUGCAAUAUUUCUCAACAAUAUCACGACAAGCAUGCGGAUAUGGAAAGCACUUAUCUUCGAUAGGCACAUGGAUAAUAAUUUUACAGUAAUCAAGUCCCUCUUAGCCCCCACAAAUCUGGGUGAGGAUGUUUGUGGUGUCUGUAUUAAACGGGAUGAGGGAUGUUUGGCUUCUUUCACAGAGCAACUACUUUCGAUUAAGCUUAAUCGAUCACAGGUGGAUGCUAUUGAAUCUGUCAUCUCAGCUGUACAAUGUGGGCAUGUGAACCUCAUGAAGCUUAUAUGGGGUCCACCAGCUACUGGAAAGACCGAGACGGUUAGCGCUUUAUUGUGGGUUUUGGCGUGUUUGAAAUGCAGAACUCUUACUUGUGCUCCCACUAAUGUUGCUGUCGUUGGAGUUUGCACUCGUUUCCUUCAAAAAUUGAAGGAUUUCAAUGAGCACAUUGAUGAAAAUGGUCUACCUUUUUCUCUUGGAGAUAUCUUGCUAUUUGGGAGCAGGUCGAACAUGGACAUCACCGAUGAUCUUCAGGAAGUUUUCUUGGAUUUUCGUGUCGACAAACUUGUUGAAUGCUUUUCAUCGUCGUCAGGAUGGAACUACAGAAUAGCUUCAAUGGUAUCCAUUUUAGAAGACUGCGCUUCACGGUAUGAUAUGCUUCUCGAGGAUGAUGGCAAAAUUGAUCCAGUGUGCUUUCUGGACUUCACAAAGAAGCAAUUUGAUGCGACAGCAAUAGCUCUGAAAAGAUGCAUAAUGAAUUUGUGGGCUCAUCUUCCUGGAAGGUGCUUUUCUCAUGAUAGUGUCAUAAAUAUAUCUAUGUUGCUUAAGAUGCUGGAAAAAUUAGGCGUCCUUCUUAGUGACAUAGAGUUGACCGAUGAGGGCUUGAAAAGGGGCCUUGGUUGUCUGUCAACUGCAAACUCUGUUUGUGCAAAGCCUAUAUCUUCUAUUGAGAAGGAACUGGAUGAAGCAAGGUACACAUGCAUCAAGUUGCUUAAAGAUCUGCUACACUUGCUUAACUUACCCACUGGAGUAGACAAAAACUGGGUCAAGAACUACUGCAUAUGUAAUGCAACACUUCUUUUCUGUACCACCUCUAGCUCUUAUCAGUUACAUCACAUGGAUAUUGCACCCCUCGAUGUAUUAAUUGUUGAUGAGGCUGCUCAAGUGCGGGAGUGUGAAUUGGUGAUCUCACUACGGCUACAUUGGCUAAAAUAUGUUUUUUUGGUCGGGGAUGACUGUCAGCUGAGUGCGAUGGUUAAAAGCAAAGUAUGUAAAGAAGCUGGAUUUGGAACAAGUCUUUUUAAGAGAUUGGUUAAGCUAAAAUUUGAAAAACAUUUGCUGAAUAUACAGUAUCGCAUGAAUCCUUGUAUCAGCUUAUUUCCAAAUGCUCAAUUUUAUGAGAGGAAGAUGUUAGAUGGUUCCAAUGUCCUGUCUUCUAGCUAUAAUAAGGAUUUCACAUGCCUCCCUUUUGGCAGCUACACGUUAAUAAAUGUCACUGAUGGAAGGGAAGACAAAGAGGGCACAGGAAACAGUCGGAGAAACAUGGUUGAAGUUGCUAUUGUUUUGCACCUAAUCCAUACCAUCUUUAAAUCUUGGAAAAAGACAGGCCAAGGUUUCAGCAUCGGAGUGGUCUCUCCAUAUAAUGCUCAAGUUGAUGCAAUUAAAACUAGACUUGGCAAAAAAUACGAUAAAUGUGAUGGCUUUCAUGUGCGGGUGAAGUCAAUUGAGGGUUUCCAAGGAGAAGAGGAUGAUAUAAUAAUACUAUCAACUGUUAGAUCCAAUGGGACAGGAGUUCUUGGAUUUCUUGCUGAUAACCAAAGAACAAAUGUUGCUCUUACUAGAGCAAGGCACUGUCUUUGGAUUGUUGGGAAUGCUCAUACACUGUAUAAAAGUGGGACCGAAUGGACAGACCUUGUUGCUGAUGCAGAAAGACGUAAAUGUGUUUUCAGUGCCACUAAUGACGCAACCAUCUGUAGGUUGGUUUUGCAAGUAAAGCAAGAGCUUGAUGAACUUGAUGAUCUUCUUAAUGCUGAUUCGGUGGUUUUCAGCAAUACCAGAUGGAAGGUCAUUCUUAGCGACGAGUUUAGGAAGUCCUUCACCAAACUCAAAUCACCACAGCUCAGGAGGGAAAUACUCCAAAAGCUUAUCAAACUUGGAGCUGGUUGGAGGACAACAGUUAAGAACCUUGAUAUACCAGGUGUUUCUCAUCUUGCAAAAGUAUACAAGCAAAAUGUUGCAAGAACUGUUCAACGUCUCGAGAAUUUGUUUUCCAUGUACACGGAUGAUUACCUGGAUCACUGCAGGAGAGUGCAGACACAGGGGAAACUGGAAGUUCCUAUGGUUUGGGAUGUUGGACAUGCUAUUAUUCGCUAUAACAUGGAUUGCAAAGUUGAUGCUCAUGAAGAGCACGGUCUCGUUGAUACAUCAUAUGCCGUGGAAAAUUCAAAAGUAAGCGAAAGCUUCUUGCUGAUGAAAUUCUACUCUUUAUCAUCUGGAAUGGCAAAGCAUUUGCUGACAGCUACUGAUGGGUCUGAAAUCAACAUCCCCUUUGAACUGAGUGAUGAAGAGCAGGUGAUUAUCCAAUUCCCGCUCACUAGUUUUAUACUUGGGAGGUCGGGCACCGGAAAAACCACUGUAUUGACAAUGAAAAUGAUUCAAAAAGAGCAACUGUCAUUGAUCGCAUCCCAAGGUCUAAAUUUGGACGGAGCUGAUUUGUCUGCGGCAGAUGACAAUAAACUUAUGCCACUAAAGAAUGUAGGAGAAUGUUCUGUGAAACAAAUAUUUAUCACUGUGAGCCCAAAGUUAUGUUCAGCCAUAAAAGAUUACAUCUACAGACUUAAAAGAUUUGGCACUGGUGAUGUCUCUGAUCAGCCAAGCAUUCUUCGCAUGCAUGACGUCAUGGAUGACCUGGAAGAGUUUACAGAAAUUCCUGACAAUUUUUGUGAUCUACCUCAUGAGCACUAUCCUCUUACUAUUACAUACCUAUGUCUGCAGGAACAUCAAGGAAGGCUUCCUUUUUGCUGGUGA
rnacentral:rRNA from 1 species